rnacentral:tRNA from 1 species
CAGCAUUUAGUUUAUUUAAAAUAUAAUAUUUGGAUUAUUAAGAAUUUUUGCUGA